rnacentral:rRNA from 1 species
AUGAAGACAGGGGAUCUUGCAGCGAGGAUGAGCUUGUGCGCAGCAAAAGACUUGCCACACACAAGAAACGUGACAUCUGCUCCCGUCUUGCUCCGCAGGAGUUCAGCAAGGUGUCUGUGCAAGUUUGAGGAUGGCACUGGCACUUCUUUGACCGGGUCCGUAGCCGGUAGUUCCUUGAGAACGUCAAUGGUGCAUUGCACAGUAAAAGAAUCACCCCUAAGAUAA